rnacentral:misc_RNA from 1 species
UAGAUUUAGAUAGUUAUAAAAAUUAUAUUUAAAAUCAAUAACUUAUUCUAUCAGUUGAACGUUCAUCCCUGUUCAAUUAUUUUUCCUCAAGUGACAGGUGGAUUUAUUGAAAUUAGCCUGCUUUCUUUUCUCGUAGGCUUAAAUCAGCAAAAUCUAAAUAUACUUUUAUUGUCUUUAUUUAAUUCUAGAACUCUGCACAUACUAGUAGUUGUAUUUUUCUAUAUAGGGUUGUAAUAACUUAAUUUUCUGGAGUUGUAAACUUAUUUAUAUGAGAUUGCAUUGAUGCAUGUGAUAUGUAUUACUGUGGAUGGAGAGAGCUGAGCUCCCAAAUAUUAAUUUUUUGUUUUAAGGAUUGUGAAUGUAAGUUGAACUUUCCAGAUUUUUGGAUAUUACGUGGUACAUGUUAAGUGAGUUAAUACUCCCCGUUGGACAGUCCAAUUUAUAGCCGGAUUCUGUCCGUUUAUUUUCUUGAAAUUGAGCAACCCAAUUGGGCUUUAUGCAUAGUUUAAAAAUAGUUAAGCUAACUACAGGCUUCGGGGGCCUUAUAUUGACCCAAGUUCUAGUACCGGUACGGCCUAGAAA